rnacentral:rRNA from 1 species
GCGAACGCUGGCGGUAUGCUUAACACAUGCAAGUCGAGCGCGAAAGUGACUUCGGUCAUAAGUAGAGCGGCGGACGGGUGAGUAACACGUGGAUAAUCUGCCUUUAGGACUGGGAUAACCCUGGGAAACUAGGGCUAAUACCGGAUAAGACCACAGGUUCCAUGGAACCAGGGGUAAAAGGCGGCCUUCGGGCUGUCGCCGAAAGAUGAGUCCGCGUCCCAUCAGGUAGUUGGUGAGGUAACGGCNCACCAAGCCGAAGACGGGUAGCCGACCUUAGCGGGUGAUCGGCCACACGGGGACUGAGACACGGCCCCGACUCCUACGGGAGGCAGCAGUGGGGAAUCUUGGGCAAUGGGCGCAAGCCUGACCCAGCAAUACCGCGUGAGGGAUGAAGGCCUUC